rnacentral:tRNA from 1 species
GCGGAUAUGGUGGAACGGUAGACACGUUAGUCUUAGGAACUAAUGCUGCAUAGCGUGUGAGUUCGAAUCUCACUAUCCGCA